rnacentral:lncRNA from 1 species
CUGCAGAGCAUAACACAUCUGUUCUUCUUCAGUUGUACUCUUUCUAAGCCUUUCUAUAGAAACUAUUCUCAAAGUUGUUUAGUUUUGAAAAAGUGCCCACAACUGAAUUGUUUAAUCAACUACAAUUCACAGCUACAAUUUCUGGUGCAUGCCUGAAGACUGUCAGCCAUUCAGACUUUAACAACUUAAAACAGGUUGAACGUUGCUGAUCUCCAGUCAAGACCUGGUCAAUCUUUGAAAGGGAGAUGUCAAGAUUAAGGUAAAUGUACUCAGGAAGAAACAGUGGCUGCUUGAUACACAGUAUUCAUCUCAGUAAAUAUUAAAAUUUAAAUAAAUGCUUCAGCACAAGGAAG